UUUUAAUGACCAAAAACACACUCCCUCCACUUACUGCCAUUUUCUUUAACGUUACCAAUCCACUUCCCUCAAUCAAUCAUCAUCUCCACGAGAAAUUUUAACCAUGGCGUCAAUGGCAACCAUCCUCCGUCGAAAACUCCACGACAACAGACAUUUCCUUAUCCAAACACGACUCUUCUCCCUCGAAUCUUUCUCUCAUGACACCAAAACUACAUCGCGCAUAGAGAAAAUAUUGAUUGCAAACAGAGGCGAAAUAGCUUGCAGGAUCAUGCGGACCGCGAAACGCCUAGGGAUUCGAACCGUCGCGGUUUACAGUGACGCGGAUAGAGACUCGCUCCACGUGAAAUCGGCUGACGAGGCUGUCCAUAUCGGUCCGCCUCCGGCUCGGUUGAGUUAUUUGAAUGGCUCGGCGAUUGUCGAGGCCGCGAUUCGUACUGGUGCACAGGCUAUUCACCCGGGUUAUGGUUUCUUAUCCGAGAGUUCUGAUUUCGCUACACUAUGUGAAGACAAAGGUCUGACUUUUGUCGGACCACCAGCAUCGGCAAUCCGGGACAUGGGUGAUAAAAGUGCAUCAAAGAGGAUAAUGGGUGCAGCAGGGGUGCCGCUUGUGCCAGGUUAUCAUGGCAGUGAACAAGAUAUUGAACUUAUGAAGUCAGAAGCAGAUAAGAUUGGAUACCCUAUCUUAAUAAAGCCGACGCAUGGAGGUGGUGGAAAGGGUAUGAGGAUAGUUCAAAGUCCAAAUGAAUUUGUUGACUCUUUUUUGGGAGCACAACGUGAAGCAGCUGCUUCAUUUGGUAUAAACACAAUUCUGCUAGAGAAAUAUAUCACAAAGCCAAGACACAUAGAAGUUCAGAUAUUUGGGGACAAACAUGGCAAUGUACUACAUUUAUAUGAAAGGGACUGCAGCGUACAGAGAAGACAUCAGAAGAUAAUUGAAGAAGCUCCAGCUCCAAAUGUCAUGAAUGACUUCCGCUCCCACUUGGGCCAGGCUGCUGUAUCUGCAGCCAAGGCAGUUGGUUACCACAAUGCUGGCACUGUGGAGUUUAUAGUUGACACUGUGUCAGGCCAGUUCUAUUUCAUGGAGAUGAACACCCGCCUUCAGGUUGAGCAUCCUGUGACUGAGAUGAUUGUUGGCCAAGAUCUUGUAGAGUGGCAAAUAUCUGUUGCAAAUGGAGAGCCACUACCUAUUAAUCAGUCACAGGUGCCUUUAUUGGGGCAUGCCUUUGAAGCCCGAAUAUAUGCUGAAAAUGUUCCAAAAGGAUUUCUUCCUGCAACUGGAGUUCUUCACCAUUAUCGUCCCGUUCCAGUUUCACCAACAGUUCGGGUUGAGACUGGAGUUGAGCAGGGGGAUACUGUUAGCAUGCACUACGAUCCAAUGAUUGCAAAGCUUGUUGUCUCAGGAGAAAACCGUGCUGCAGCAUUAGUCAAACUGAAGGAUUGCUUAUCAAAAUUUCAGGUUGCAGGUGUGCCAACUAAUAUCAAUUUUCUUCAAAAACUUGCUGACCAUAGAGCAUUUGAAAAUGGCAAUGUGGAGACCCACUUUAUUGAACAUUAUAAAGAUGACCUCUUUACUGAUCCUAACAAUUUAACGCGUGCAAAGGAAACAUAUGAUAAUGCUAGAUUCAGCGCAACCCUGGUAGCUGCAUGUCUUUGUGAGAAGGAGCAUUCUGCUAUAAAGUCCAGUCUCCCUGGGACCAAUGGGUUACUCCCCAUAUGGUAUUCUCAUCCCCCUUUUCGAGCCCAUUAUCAAGCUAGUUGUACCAUGGAGCUUGAGUGGGAGAAUGAAUAUGAUGGAAGCAGCUCCGAAUUUUUUACCUUCUCCAUCACUUAUCAGUCAGAUGGGAACUAUCUUAUUGAGACAGAAGAAGUCAAUUCCCCUGGUUUGGAAGUCAAGGCAACACUCCUGCACGACCAAGAUUUUAGAGUUGAAACUGAUGGUGUGAGCAUGGAUGUUAGUUUAUCUGCAUAUUCCAAGGACAAAAUAAAGCACAUUCAUUUAUGGCAUGGAUCACAUCAUUAUCAUUUCAGACAAAAGUUAGAGCUUGACUUGUCUGAUGAUAAUGAAAUACAACAGAAGACCAAUUUUGAGACUGCAUUGCACCCUCCAGGAACUGUGGUGGCUCCCAUGGCUGGUUUAGUAGUCAAGGUUCUGGUGAUGGAUGGAACAAAGGUAGAAGAAGGGCAGCCUAUAUUAGUACUCGAAGCAAUGAAGAUGGAGCAUGUUGUGAAGGCUCCAUUUAGUGGGCAUGUUCAUGGGCUUCAAGUGACAGCUGGCCAACAGGUUUCUGAUAGCAGUCCCCUCUUCAGUGUCAAGUUUCCUAAAACCAGUGUUGAAUGGGAUCAUUUCCCUGGCCAGGGUGAAUAGAAUCUCAGAGUGAAGUUUUCCUUACAUGAGGAAACUGCUUGAACAAAUGGUGGCGUAAACAGAUCUACAGGAGUUUCCUGAGCUGUGGGUUCAAUGUUGCAAAGGUUUGGAAACGAAAACAUCUUCUUGAGCAGAUGUGCUGAGCAUGGAAUCCACGGAUUGGCAGGUCAGCCCGUUAAUGUUGUUACUUUUCUAGUCAUUCUGAGUUACGAUGUCACACAAUUGCCGGCACUCUCAGAGCUCCAACAAAUACAUAGCCUGAAUUCUGAGUUUGAUGAGUGGAUUGCCUAAAAGUAAUGCAAUUUUGUGAAUAAUAAAUAUGAAGAUGUUGUUGGAUAACUUUCUAGUCAAAAUAUUGACAUAUCAAACAUGUAGCGUUUGUACCUCA